rnacentral:rRNA from 1 species
UGGGGAAUAUUGGACAAUGGGCGAAAGCCUGAUCCAGCCAUGCCGCGUGUGUGAAGAAGGUCUUCGGAUUGUAAAGCACUUUAAGUUGGGAGGAAGGGCAGUAAGCGAAUACCUUGCUGUUUUGACGUUACCGACAGAAUAAGCACCGGCUAACUCUGUGCCAGCAGCCGCGGUAAUACAGAGGGUGCAAGCGUUAGUCGGAAUUACUGGGCGUAAAGCGCGCGUAGGUGGUUCGUUAAGUUGAAUGUGAAAGCCCCGGGCUCAACCUGGGAACUGCAUCCAGAACUGGCGAGCUAGAGUAGGGCAGAGGGUGGUGGAAUUUCCUGUGUAGCGGUGAAAUGCGUAGAUAUAGGAAGGAACACCAGUGGCGAAGGCGACCACCUGGGCUCAUACUGACACUGAGGUGCGAAAGCGUGGGGAGCAAACAGG